GAUGAAGAACGUAGCGAAAUGCGAUAAGUAGUGUGAAUUGCAGAAUUCAGUGAAUCAUCGAAUGUUUGAACGCACAUUGCGCCCCUUGGUAUUCCAUGGGGCAUGCCUGUUCGAGCGUCAUUUGUACCUUCAAGCUUUGCUUGGUGUUGGGUGUUUGUCUCGCCUUUGCGUGUAGACUCGCCUUAAAAUAAUUGGCAGCCGGCGUAUUGAUUUCGGAGCGCAGUACAUCUCGCGCUUUGCACUCAUAACGACAGCGUCCAAAAGUACAUUUUACACUCUUGACCUCGGAUCAGGUAGGGAUACCCGCUGAACUUAAGCAUAUCAAUAAGCGGAGGA
rnacentral:misc_RNA from 1 species